rnacentral:pre_miRNA from 1 species
UCUUAUGGAUGAAUAAAGAAAGUGGUUUUUGGAGAUAGAUUCUACUUUUGGUAAAGAUGCUAUGAA